rnacentral:misc_RNA from 1 species
UCCGGCUUAUCACCGGCAGUCCCACUAGAGUGCCCAACUGAAUGAUGGCAACUAAUGGCAGGGGUUGCGCUCGUUGCGCCACUUAAGGCAGCACCUCACGGCACGAGCUGACGACAGCCAUGCAGCACCUGUGCAGGCUCCCGAAGGAGCGCCGGCUUUCAUCGGCUUCACCCUGCAUGUCAAGUCCUGGUAAGGUUCUUCGCGUUGCGUCGAAUUAAGCCACAUGCUCCACCGCUUGUGCGGGCCCCCGUCAAUUCCUUUGAGUUUCAGCCUUGCGGCCGUACUCCCCAGGCGGGGCACUUCAUGCGUUAGCGCCGGCACCCAGGGGGUCGCUCCCCCAAGCACCUAGUGCCCAUCGUUUACGGCGUGGACUAC